GCAUCGAACGGUCCCAGAACUUUCCUUGAGCCUCGCCUCGCGUCGCUGCCUCCGCCGCGCAGCCCGCCCUGGCGCUGCCUCUGAUCCGCGCCGCCCGGCCGGCCGGAUCCGCGCCAUGGCCUCCUCGCCGUCCCUGUCCCCGUCGUCUCCGUGCUCUCCAACCCGGUCGCCUCUGCCACGUCCGGCCGCCGUGCCGUUCACUACGCUGCCUCCCGCUAUACCUCUCGCCUCUCUUGCUUGCCUAUCCUGCUUCCGAGAUCCAGUGCGUCGGCGCCGAGCUUAUACUCACCGCGCGGAGCUCCUCGGCCUGUGACGAGAACUGUGCCGGGAGAGCGAGAACCGGCUGGGUCACCAGAGGCGGCACGGGAGGCGAGAUCAAGCCGUGGACAGGGAAGCGCGGUGGAGGUGAGGUGAGGCCGACCAGCCAGCCGCGGCGAGGAGAGCGCCCUCCCAACGCUCUGGGGGCUCGCCGCCGGCCAUCGCCGUCGUUGGAGGCCAGGUGCUCGUCUCCCCCUCGAUUUCUUCGCCGCACAGAGCUCCCGGCGACCACGUCCGCCCGCCGUUGCCGUCCUCCGUCGGGCCGCCUCUGCACCGUCGCUUCCCGCCGUUCGAGCUGUGGUUCUACCUUUCUGGAUAAAUUACCUUCCGAAUCCUUACAGGUCAUGAUCUAAAUAUAAAUGCUCGGUGUGCAAUGAAACUGUGAAAGAGGAUACAACAUGAGGAGAUGAAAUCUACCUACCAACGAAGAGUAUUCACCUUUUCCUGUGAUCCAAUCCAAGAUUUUCGCUUGUAAAAUGAUGCAAGGAUAAACCUGUUUGACUAGGCUGUCAAUUCCAUUUUCUCCCUUUUGUUUCCAUUUAGAUUUAGAUGACUUUUCCCGCUUAUGCACAUUCAGCUCAUAUUAUUUUUAUCUAUCACCUCCUUUCUGAUGCAAAGUCAGUAUGGUGGUUAAACCAUGCAAUCGACAAGAUGUGGCCUGUCUGUAUGGACAAGAUCAUUUUACAACUUCUACGGCCUAUUGUACCGUGGUUCUGGAAUAAGUUCAAACCUUGGACGAUUGUACAGUUCCCUUUUUGUGUCUUGAUUUUAUAAUUCAUGUGCUCCAUUUUGUGAUAUUUUACGUAAUACUGCCACUUGAACAAUAUUUAUUUUAAGUCAAUGACCAUUUAAUUUCUGCAAUUAGCCAUUACCAUCCGUCGAUACCAGAUAGCUCACUUGAUCUGGUUAUUCUACAGAGCAAAGCAAGUGUACAGGAGCAUUGUACUUUAUGAAGGAAUCCACCAAUGUUUACCUCCAUGAGAAGUUUGUUCGGAGCUGGCCAUUUCUUGGCCGUGUAAGACUUCGCUUUGUGCAGCCACCUUAUUUUUAGAUGCCUGAAACCACUCAUUAAUUAUGGGCUCGAUGUCAUUGAGUUCCCAGGAAGGGACAGGACGGGCGCGCCAAGGCGCGCGCAAAGUACUCGUAUUGUCUAUCUCUAGUUAUGCAGGAAAUCAGAUAUCAACUCUGCCAUAUGAGGCUGCGCCAAUAGAGCGGGUUAGUCAAGAAAGUGAACAGCAGAUAGGUAUGCAAACAGGACUACAGGAUCCUUCAACUGCAGCAGCAAGCAGCGUGUUAAGAAUACAGUCAUUGUUGAGACGAAAGUCCCCAGUAAGGACUGAUUGAGAGCAGAAGGUCAUACUAACUUCAAGAUUGCAAAAGGUGAUAUUAGCGAUGAUGAGGGUCAGUUAGUAUAAAAGCUAACAAGUAUUUUCUUCUUGAAUACUCUUGUCAUUUACUUUUUACAAAACUGUCUAAAACCUGGCUUGAUCACAGUAAAUGGAUGAACAUAUGUAUGCAGCAGAGUUGCUUAUGUUGUCCUACUUUGAACAUGAGAGAAACCUUGUAGCUGUUAGUUAACUUUUCUAUUGCCGUGACCUCUAAUCGUCUUCACUGCAUAGCAAGUUAAUCUACUAAAAAUAAUAUUCAUGUCAUAUUUGUAAUUUGUUUAUACUGAAAAUCAGUUGGCUUUGUCAAACCUUGUUAAUAAUUUGUUUUAUUGAUCUUGUUGUCUAUAUUCUCAACUCUGAAAAUAAUAUUCAGAUGUCAGCAGUAGUAACCAGUACACUUUCUUCAUUGGUGCGUAGUUAAGAUUUCACAUCACAUUCUUAUCUAAAUUUUUAUUUUCAUUUCGAGGUGCUUCCAGAUUUGAAGGAGUCCGCUUGAAAGAAGCAGCUUUGCAGCAGUUACUCUUUAUUUUUUUAAACUUUAAAGUCCUUGUGAAAUACGGUGUUCCCUUGCUGAAAGAAGCUAAUUAGAUGUGGUUAAACUCAGAUUGAUGAAUAUGACUUGCUGAAAAAAGUCCUAGUUUGGUUAUCCAAAUAUUUUUUGGGAAGAGUUAAUAUUUUUUGUUUACUUUUAAUGAUGUAAUCUAAUCCUAAUCUGAUUGAUGAUAGGACGACCCAGUUGUUCUAAUUAUUAAUGCCCUUGUUUUGGCUUUUGUUUUCAUUCACUAUUUUAUAUUGUUUUUCAGUAAAUAUAGACGGUACUUAUUAGUUGAUUAAAUGGACUAGUACUGGGCAAGCAAGCUAGCUGCCUGUCGGAGCGAGGGAGCUAGCUGUCUGUCCAUGCGGGACAUGCGGGUUUAGAGUUUGUGGCCGCAAAGCCCACAAACUGCUAGUUGCCCGCGUGCUGAACCUUGGCGGUUUUUUAUAUUUUUAUAUUUUUUAUUUCUGUUUUUUAUAAAAAUAUAUUUUCGAUAUGGAAAUUUACAGAAAUAUAUCCCGGCCGCCCCGCUGCCGGGCGGCCGGGACCUGGCCGCCCGGCUGCUGGGCGGCAGGGGCUUAUCUGUAAAAAAGAGGAAAACAAAUUGCAGACAGGUCCCUGGGAACCGGCAGCCGGGCGGCCAGCCUCCCAAGCCGCCCGGCUGGGGGGAGGCCGGCCCCCCACCCCUAUAUAAGGGUGUUAGCUGCCCCUCCCCCCUCAUUUGCCUUGCUAAAAAUCCAGAAAAAAGAAAAGAGAGGGAGGGAGGGAGAUGAGGGGUGAGGGAGAGGCAAAGCGGCGAAGCCUUGUCGGAUUUUCAAGCCGGCGACUUUAGGUAUGGCCGGGGUUACCCCUGCGUUGCUAGACCCAACAAUAGACUCGGGUCACCGGUCCUUCCUUGCGAAGCUUCAGCACCAAGAACUAAAUGUGCUGCGUCCACGUCCACCUGCAGAGUUGGUUGCUGUAGACCCACGAUGG